GUGAAUCAUCAAAUCUUUGAACGCAAAUUGCACUCUCCGGUUUUCCGGGAGAGUAUGCCUGUUUGAGGGUCAGCCUAAAAAAAAUCGACAUUGUUGCUGUUAUUUAAUGGUGACUUUCGUCGGAGAUUGGAUUAUCUUAAACCUUUUUUUUUUUUUUUGUUUUAAGGGAUUUAAAAUUUUUUUUCCCUUUUCCAUGAACGUUUUUAAAAUUUUUUUUUUUUUUACUUUUAAGGUUUUUCGAUUUUUUUUUAAAUGUUCCG
rnacentral:misc_RNA from 1 species